UCCAGUGAAUAUAUCACCCUGCAACUCACUACAGGCAACCUGCAGAAUCUAAGCAAGCAUGAGCCUGGACAGUAUCUGGAUGGGAGACCUCCUGGGAAAGCUAAGGUUUCUGCUGGAA
rnacentral:rRNA from 1 species